AUCCCAUGAUGAGGGCACUUCCACAAUAGCUCUUUGAAUCUCUCCCAUGUUUCAUACAAUGAUUCCUCAUCUGCUUGUUGGAAUGAGGUAAUAUCAUUUCUGAGCUU
rfam:Morus notabilis contig9663, whole genome shotgun sequence.